rnacentral:ribozyme from 15 species
ACAAGAGAGAGAGAAAGAAUAAUUGCAGCAUUUGUCUCUUUUUGAUUGCAUUUCUUUGUCAUUUCCGACCAUCCUUUUCAUCUCUCUUGUUCUCUUCCUUUGUUGUUAUUAC